UUCCAGAAGCUGGACUGGGAAGGUCCUAGACAGAAGUUAGUCCUUGGAAGAAAGGACUGAGCGUCUCAGUAAUGACAUGGAGGAGAGAGAGGCGAGCGGGGUGAGCGGCCACCGGCGAGCUGGGGUUCGCUGCACACCCAUCACCACAUACAUUUCAAAAAGAAUCAAGCCUUUUGAAGUCUGCCAGAGCUGUGGUUUGUUAAUUGACACUGUUCAACUGAGUGACAAUUGUUCCGCUCAGUGGGGGCCAUCCACUC
rnacentral:lncRNA from 1 species